rnacentral:rRNA from 1 species
UACGGAGGGUGCGAGCGUUGUCCGGAAUCACUGGGCGUAAAGGGCGCGUAGGUGGCGCAACAAGUCAACGGUGAAAGCUCGGCGCUCAACGCCGAGUCGGCCGUCGAUACUGUUGGGCUGGAGCACUGUAGAGGCAGAUGGAAUUCCGGGUGUAGCGGUGGAAUGCGUAGAGAUCCGGAAGAACACCGGUGGCGAAAGCGCUCUACUGGACUGCAACUGACACUCAGGGACGAAAGCUAGGGGAGCGAAUGGG